rnacentral:pre_miRNA from 1 species
CCAGGAAAAUGACCUAUGAAUUGACAGACUGCUUUCUAAACUUGGCUGUCAUUUCUAUAGGCCAAUAUUCUGC